GAUGAACGCUGGCGGCGUGCCUAAUACAUGCAAGUCGAGCGAACGGACGAGAAGCUUGCUUCUCUGAUGUUAGCGGCGGACGGGUGAGUAACACGUGGAUAACCUACCUAUAAGACUGGGAUAACUUCGGGAAACCGGAGCUAAUACCGGAUAAUAUUUUGAACCGCAUGGUUCAAAAGUGAAAGACGGUCUUGCUGUCACUUAUAGAUGGAUCCGCGCUGCAUUAGCUAGUUGGUAAGGUAACGGCUUACCAAGGCAACGAUGCAUAGCCGACCUGAGAGGGUGAUCGGCCACACUGGAACUGAGACACGGUCCAGACUCCUACGGGAGGCAGCAGUAGGGAAUCUUCCGCAAUGGGCGAAAGCCUGACGGAGCAACGCCGCGUGAGUGAUGAAGGUCUUCGGAUCGUAAAACUCUGUUAUUAGGGAAGAACAUAUGUGUAAGUAACUGUGCACAUCUUGACGGUACCUAAUCAGAAAGCCACGGCUAACUACGUGCCAGCAGCCGCGGUAAUACGUAGGUGGCAAGCGUUAUCCGGAAUUAUUGGGCGUAAAGCGCGCGUAGGCGGUUUUUUAAGUCCGAUGUGAAAGCCCACGGCUCAACUGUGGAGGGUCAUUGGAAACUGGAAAACUUGAGUGCAGAAGAGGAAAGUGGAAUUCCAUGUGUAGCGGUGAAAUGCGCAGAGAUAUGGAGGAACACCAGUGGCGAAGGCGACUUUCUGGUCUGUAACUGACGCUGAUGUGCGAAAGCGUGGGGAUCAAACAGGAUUAGAUACCCUGGUAGUCCACGCCGUAAACGAUGAGUGCUAAGUGUUAGGGGGUUUCCGCCCCUUAGUGCUGCAGCUAACGCAUUAAGCACUCCGCCUGGGGAGUACGACCGCAAGGUUGAUACUCAAAGGAAUUGACGGGGACCCGCACAAGCGGUGGAGCAUGUGGUUUAAUUCGAAGCAACGCGAAGAACCUUACCAAAUCUUGACAUCCUUUGACAACUCUAGAGAUAGAGCUUUCCCCUUCGGGGGACAAAGUGACAGGUGGUGUAUGGUUGUCGUCAGCUCGUGUCGUGAGAUGUUGGGUUAAGUCCCGCAACGAGCGCAACCCUUAAGCUUAGUUGCCAUCAUUAAGUUGGGCACUCUAAGUUGACUGCCGGUGACAAACCGGAGGAAGGUGGGGAUGACGUCAAAUCAUCAUGCCCCUUAUGAUUUGGGCUACACACGUGCUACAAUGGACAAUACAAAGGGCAGCGAAACCGCGAGGUCAAGCAAAUCCCAUAAAGUUGUUCUCAGUUCGGAUUGUAGUCUGCAACUCGACUACAUGAAGCUGGAAUCGCUAGUAAUCGUAGAUCAGCAUGCUACGGUGAAUACGUUCCCGGGUCU
rnacentral:rRNA from 1 species